CCUACGGGUGGCAGCAGUAGGGAAUAUUGGUCAAUGGGCGCGAGCCUGAUCCAGCCAAGUCGCGUGAAGGAUGAAUGCCCUACGGGCUGUAAACUUCUUUUAUAAAGGAAUAAAGUGAGGCACGUGUGUCUUUUUGUAUGUACUUUAUCUAUAAGGAUCGGCUAACUACGUGCCAGCAGCCGCGGCAAUACGGAGGAUCCGAGCGUUAUCCGGAUUUAUUGGGUUGAAAGGGAGCGUAGAUGGGUUGUUAAGUCAGUUGUGAUAGUGUGAGGCUCAACCGUAAAAGUGCAAUUGAUACUGGCAGUCUUGAGUGCAGUUGAGGUAGGCGGAAUUCGAGGUGUAGCGGUGAAAUGCUUAGAUA
rnacentral:rRNA from 1 species